UCCAGACUCCUACGGGAGGCAGCAGUGGGGAAUAUUGCACAAUGGGGGGAACCCUGAUGCAGCGACGCCGCGUGGGUGAAGGAGCGUUUCGGCGCGUAAAGCCCUAUCGGCAGGGAAGAAGGAGGACGGUACCUGACUAAGAAGCCCCGGCUAACUACGUGCCAGCAGCCGCGGUAAUACGUAGGGGGCAAGCGUUAUCCGGAUUUACUGGGUGUAAAGGGGGCGCAGACGGCAGCGCAAGCCAGGAGUGAAAGCCCGGGGCCCAACCCCGGGACUGCUCUUGGAACUGCGCGGCUGGAGUGCAGGAGGGGCAGGCGGAAUUCCUGGUGUAGCGGUGAAAUGCGUAGAUAUCAGGAGGAACACCGGUGGCGAAGGCGGCCUGCUGGACUGCGACUGACGUUGAGGCCCGAAAGCGUGGGGAGCAAACAGGAUUAGAUACCCUCGUAAU
rnacentral:rRNA from 1 species